GACGAACCGUCCAAACGUUAUUCGGAAUCACUGGGCUUAAAGGGUGCGUAGGCGGUCCGGCAAGUUGGGUGUGAAAGCCCUCGGCUCAACCGAGGAAUUGCGCCCAAAACUGCCGGACUCGAGGGAGACAUAGGUGAGCGGAACUUAGGGUGGAGCGGUGAAAUGCGUUGAGAUCCUAAGGAACACCAGUAGCGAAAGCGGCUCACUGGGUCUCUUCUGACGCUGAGUGCACGAAAGCUAGGGGAGCGAAGAGG
rnacentral:rRNA from 1 species